AGCACAUUUAAAAUCCUCUCCUAGAACACGUUUGGCAGCCCACCUCCCGUACCAGCCUUUGGGCGGGCAGAGGUGCUAUCUUUAUAACAAAACAAUGAAAGAAAGAUCACCUGCUGCCGCCCUAGAAAAUGCUUCCUCUGUGUUCAAGCCGGAGUGAGGAGCGGGGAAGGAAGGAACGAGUCCAUCGAAGUUGGAUCACAGGGUGCAGAGAGAAAUCCGUUACAUUGGUAGGAUCCAGAGCCAAAGGCUUAAAAGGACUCACUAAGGAUUUGCUCUCUAGUCUAUGGGCAAUGGGGAGCCAGAGGGGAUUUCAGAGCAAGGGGAAGGCGUGAUCAAAACCAUGCUUCACAAAAAUCGAGUUGCUUGAGCAUAGAAGUGGAUUCAAAGAGGAAGGGGCUCACGGCAGAGCUGCUGGCUUGGGAUUAUCUCAGUAGAUCUUAAGAAAGAAACAAACUCAGAAAAACCACCGGGGCAGCAGCUGAGGAGAAGAAGAGAGCGUGUGGGAGACAUCUCUGAGAAAUAAGAUAAACUCCGGAUUCUCCUAAAGGUACAGGGGGAUCCAGCACAGGACAGCUGAGACGUGGGAACAAUAAAAAGCGCCGGAUAUGAACGGACCUUGCAGAGCGCCUGACACUGUCUUAACUCAUGCAAUCCUCAAGGGCACUGUGACAUCAGGCUCCCCCUUCUAAUGCAGUCACAAAGGCACCAAGUGUGUUAUGCGGGACACCAAGAGGUUACACAGCAUGCCCAAGUACACUCAACCGAUAAGCACAGCACACACCACCACAGUGCUUUGAGCUAGGCCACUGUCACAGAGCCCAACCUCUUCAUCAUGAAGCAAAGCUAAAUCUCCAAGACCAGAAACCCAAGGGACCCCGGCAGAAGUCUGGAUCACCAGAGUGCCAUGCUAAGACUCACAGCCAAGUUUGAAAAUGGCAGCUGCCUUCCUGAGUCUGGCAUCUACGAUACGAGGUGAGGAGUGUAUAUUGCCUCUCGGAUUCCAGCCCAGUCUCCAGGGUCGGGUUGCCAGCUGAAAUUCCUGGCUCCACUAUGUUCUGGCUGUGCAACCUUGAACAUCUCAUGUUUUUUUUUUUUUUUUUCUUGGCUCUGGCUUUUGUUAUGUGAAAUUAGAAUUUUUAAAUGAGGGAA